rnacentral:rRNA from 1 species
CUGGCUCAGGAUGAACGCUAGCUACAGGCUUAACACAUGCAAGUCGAGGGGCAGCAUUGGAGUAGCAAUACUCAGAUGGCGACCGGCGCACGGGUGAGUAACACGUAUCCAACCUGCCGCUUACUCGGGGAUAGCCUUUACGAAAGAAAGAUUAAUACCCGAUGGUAUAAAGAGUUCGCAUGUUCUCUUUAUUAAAGAAUUUCGGUAAGCGAUGGGGAUGCGUUCCAUUAGAUAGUUGGCGGGGUAACGGCCCACCAAGUCUACGAUGGAUAGGGGUUCUGACGAGGAAGGUCCCCCACAUUGGAACUGAGACACGGUCCAAACUCCUACGGGAGGCAGCAGUGAGGAAUAUUGGUCAAUGGACGAGAGUCUGAACCAGCCAAAGUAGCGUGAAGGAUGACUGCCCUAUGGGUUGUAAACUUCUUUUAUAAGGGAAUAAAGUGAGGGACGUGUCCCUUUUUGUAUGUACCUUAUGAAUAAGGAUCGGCUAACUCCGUGCCAGCCGCGGC